AAAACAGCUAGCCCUGCAUGAUAACUCAAUCUUAGGCCUCAGGCUUCACUUACACGAACCUGACAAACUGUAGCUGUGCGCAUUGCCAGGGAGCUCACUGAUGAAGACAAUUUAAAUUUUGUUGGCAGUGCCCUCAGGUAGAUCUUGGAAGAAAGCAAUCAGUGAUUUGGAGGGACUGAGGAAAGGACAGAGGCAACAACUCAGGGAGUAACCUGAAUAGAGAGGAAGGCAGUGACUACCUGGAACUGGAAGGAGCACCUCUGUAUUUCACAAUUCUGUAUCCAGAUUGUAAUCAGUUUGAAGUGACAUCAUGAGAGGAAGGUGGGCAGUGAGAGUUCCAGCAGGUAAAGGAGCACAAGCCUAAACAGCUUCUGGAACAGUUGUUGAUAGUAACUGACUUCCUCGUAAAUGCCUUGGUUGAUUCUGCCUCCACCACACACUCAGAUCUGAACCACAAUAUAUGAAUAUAUA